AUUGGGAAUGGAGGGAAAUAAAUGACUGGAUGGUCGCUGCUUUUUAAGUUUCAAAUUGACAUUCCAGACAAGCGGUGCCUGAGCCCGUGCCUGUCUUCAGAUCUUCACAGCACAGUUCCUGGGAAGGUGGAGCCACCAGCCUCUCCCUGACAAGCAAAGUGGAUCAGCAAAGGCUGCAGUCACCAGCAUCUUUUCCAACCUUAAUGAACUGUAUCCUCAAAAGAACACUAUCAGACUGGCUCUGCCGACUUCCAGUUCUGGAACAAGAUGGUUAAACUCAUUUUUCCCUGCUCUGCUCCUCUAAAUACAACUAAGUACCUUGGAAACUAUUCAGCAGACAAUGAUAAAGGGCUCUGAAAGCUAGAAGAAAAGGUGUACUUGCAAGAAACCUCAGGACUUGAGUAACAGCAACAUGGCAGGCCAGAAAGCAGACCCAGGGAGGAUAGCACAUGUCUUCGGCUACACUGGUGAAGGCAUCGUGCCUGCUCCACAGCACAUUUUUAUUCAAGAACAAUCCAUUUCACAGAUGAAGAAACAGACUCAGUGAGCACGUGAUCACUUCUCACAACUAAUGGAGCCAAGAUUCUGUCCUUAUGGCUCCAGAGACCUCUUUUUUUUCCCACUGUACCACAACACUCACCAGGACUGGAGUGCCACCUAUGACCUCAUUGCAUAAUGGAUGGCUUGUCCUCAAAUGGGCCCGGUCUUGGACGAGCCUGAGGAUGUCUACAAGUGGAAGAAAAGAAGCCACUGGAGCAGAAGGUGGGGAGGAUAAAAUUUGGAGCAAGAUUCUCAAGGAAGCAACAAGAUCCUAAGAUCUUGUUCUCACUAGAGAAUAAUUUCUACAUUAUGCCCAGGUUCUUCUGAGCUAUGAAGGGGCCCAGAUUUAAGGGCUAUUUUUGACACCCUAAAUGUGCUGAGACAAGUCAUUAAGGUGGUCCUGCCAGGACACAGCCAUCUAAAGCAGCAAUCUGCUUCUUGCCAGAAAAUCUCGUGCCUCUGCAGAGCCUUUUCCAGAAUGAACCACACCAUGCUGAGGAAAGGAGAAAGAGACUACCUACUGCAUUUCUGUCACUCGCUGAAAAGGACACUCUGUCAGAAAAUCUUCUAGCAAACUUCAAAGGGCAAAAUCACCCCUUGUUACUGAUAAAGCCCAGAGAGCUUCAGCAGCUAACAUUCCCUGGACAGGGCACAGCAAGGAUUUGAACCUAGCUCACCAAGCUCCUGUAUCUACUGGAAAAUGGAAGUCCAGCCUUACCAACUUGUGAACCUUGUCUGAAGGGAGCCAGGGCCUGCCAAUGGAACCACCUCCAGGAGCUGCAACUGCUGUUGUCAUUAAUACCAUUGUGUCUAUUUUUUGAGAGAGAUAAACUUUUCAUGGUGUUACAUUUUGGAAAAAAAAAAAAAA
rnacentral:lncRNA from 1 species